GGCAAUUAUUGGUUAAUUGGGGAAGAGCUCAGUGGCACGCAGGUGAAGGCUGUUGGCAGUGACCCUAACAGUACCUUCCCUGAACAUUCUAUUCUACCCUGGAGAGCCCUGAGCAUCCUCUUGAUGUCACCACUGUUGAAGCAACACCAACUGCCAUUUGGGGCAUUUGUACAGUGCCUCUGGGAGUCACAAAGACAUAUUGGUGAGACUGAGAAAGCUACUUGGGAAAGAGAAUGGACCGCCUAGAGAAGAGAGAGAGGCAGAAGGAAUCUGGUCAUCUGUCUCAGCAUAAAACAUCAAGAAAUAAAUGUUCCAGGGGAAGGAAUGACUGGAAAGGCAUCUUUUCAACUCUCCCCUCACUGAGCAGGAUCUGGAGAUGAACAAGGUGGAGAAAAUGACCAUUCAGCUACAGAUGAUGACCUGUUAGAGGAAUGAACUGCAUUGAAUCUUGGACCAUUAUACUAAUACUGAUUUGAACAGCAGAACAUAUCUAAAGACCCAGAAAUGAAGAUAAAUGACAGAGAAUAUAUUUCUGUGGACAAGAAACUGUGUCUGUUUCUUGAUCAAACUACAUCACAGUAUUUAUAUCGAUCGGAGCCAGCUCGCCAGAAGAGGUUAAAGAGGAGGGUUCGAAAACUUUUUGGAAGUCCGGAAGUUAAUGUUUGUCCUCAGGGAGAGCCUCUACCUAAUACCUCUGAAGAGCAAACACCCCGAAAGGUAAUCCCCACUGACUUGAAAAGUAACGUAUUUGUUUGGGAGGGGAAAGCUGCAUCUGUGUGCCCAUGUCUGCAGUAUUGCAGAUGGUGUCAGAAAAGAGGAGUCCAGCCUCAAACGUAUCCUGUCCCUCCUUCACACCCUCACUUCCAGGGACACUCUUGCCAGUCACCAUCUAUGGUAUAAGUGAAAAUAAGUUAGACCAUAGAAAUAAAAACUCAGAAAGUAAACAUGCUUUUAACACAAGUCAGGAGAACUCAUCAAAACAGAGAGAAUAAACAAUUAGACUCCUGGAGUAAUUACAGUCAACAUGAAAGUGAGUAACAUGCUUGUGUUUUUGGAGACUUGUUCAUUUUAUGUGGAUGAAUGUUUUAUCUGCAUUCUGUCUGUGCACCAUGUGUGUGCCCACUGCCCACAGAGGUCAGAAGAGGACAUCAGAUCUCCUGGAACUGGACUUACAGAUGGUUGUCAGCUCCCAUGUGGGUGCUGUGAAUCGAUCCCGGGUCUUCUGCAAGAACAACAAGUGUUCUCAAGGCUGAGCCACCCAUCCAGCUCCCAGAAUGAAUGCUGGAGAUGCAAAUGAUUAGGGUGCAAGCCAAGAUAUUACAAGUGGAAAUAAGUAGCCAGUCUCAGGAUGCUUGCUAAGUUCCUGGGCCCAGGCAUCAUCAGCUUGCUAGUUUUACAACUGAAAUCCAGAGAUUAUGUAGGUGGUAAGAACAGCAAUAAGGAGGCUGGACAUGCUAAUCCCAGCACUCAGGAGACAUGGUGGGUCUUUGGGAGUUCAAGUAAACCCUGGUCUCAAUUUAUUUGGGAGAUGGGGGAAGACAACGUACAUGUAUGUCAUUGCAGAAGUGUGGGGGUCAAAGGAUAAUUUUUGAGAGUCAAUUCUCUCCUCCCAUCUUGUCAG